CAGUCGCCGCGGGAAUACGUAGGUGGCAAGCGUUGUCCGGAAUUAUUGGGCGUGAGGGGCUCGCAGGCGGUUUCUUAAGUCUGAUGUGAAAGCCCCCGGCUCAACCGGGUAGGGUCACUGGAAACUGGGAAACUUGAGUGCAGAAGAGGAGAGUGGAAUUCCACGUGUAGCGGUGAAAUGCGUAGAGAUGUGGAGGAACACCAGUGGCGAAGGCGACUCUCUGGUCUGUAACUGACGCUGAGGAGCGAAAGCGUGGGGAGCGAACAGGAUUAGAUACCCCGGUAGUCCCUGUCUCUUAUAC
rnacentral:rRNA from 1 species